AAAAUUGAAAUCACGAAAGCACGACGACAGCUCGUCUCAUCUCCGGCGUCAAUAAUCUCCAGCAUGAAUCAUCUCUGCCUUCAUCAUCUCCGGCAUCGAUCAUCUCGUCCAUCAUCGUCUCAGGCGUCGAUCGUCUCCGGCGUCGUUCAUCUCCGCCGUAAUCAUCUCCGCUGUACUGCAUCCGAGGCACUCUAUAAUCCAGAUGUGUCUAAUGUGGAUCUGGAACCAUACAGUCAUUAGAGUCUGAACUUUCGAAGAAACUCGAGAUUACAGAGAAUGCAAAAGAGGAGAAUGACGAAGAAGAAGAAGGAAGCAAAGCUGAGACUUCAACUACGAAGAAGAACAAAAACAAGAAUAAAAGCAAGAAGAAGCCCCAUCAGACUGAUCUGCCUACAAUCCCUAUCGUGAAGUUUUUCCCAUCUGGAGACUUUCCUUAAGGUGAAAUCCAACAAUAUAAGUAUGAGUAAGUUCCAUACCAACAACUCUAUUCGGACCAGCUUUAUAGUAUGCAAUAAGCUUGUGGAUUUAGUUCAUAUAGCUUCUGUCUUUGCAUCUGUUAAACUCCAUCGUAUUUUUAGUCUUUUUCUUUUCAAUACUUUUUUUCUUCUCUUGUUACCUUUAUGACACUUUAAGA